rnacentral:rRNA from 1 species
UAAGGAAUAUUGGUCAAUGGACGCAAGUCUGAACCAGCCAUGCCGCGUGAAGGAUGAAUGCCCUCUGGGUUGUAAACUUCUUUUAUAGGGGAAGAAAGAUACUUUUUUUAAGGUAGUUGACGGUACCCUCAGAGAAAGCCCCGGCUAACUACGUGCCAGCAGCCGCGGUAAUACGUAGGGGGCAAGCGUUGUCCGGAUUUACUGGGUGUAAAGGGCGCGCAGGCGGGAUAAAAAGUCAGUGGUGAAAUCCUACAGCUUAACUGUAGAACUGCCUUUGAUACUUUUAUUUAUGAGUUCGGGAGAGGGAGACGGAAUUCCAGGGGUAGUGGUGGAAUACGUAGAUAUCUGGAAGAACACCAGUUGCGAAGGCGGUCUCUUGGUCCGACACUGACGCUGAGGCGCGAAAGCGUGGGGAGCAAACA